CUCGCCAGGGAACUACAAGCACUAGCUCGAAACCCAAAGGACUUGGCGGUGCUUUAGAACCACCUAGAGGAGCCUGUUCUAUAACCGAUACUCCCCGUUUAACCUCACCCUUUCUUGCCACUACCGCCUAUAUACCGCCGUCGUCAGCUUACCCUAUAAGGGCCCCAUAGUAAGCGAAACUGGUAAAACCUAACACGUCAGGUCGAGGUGUAGCACACGAAAGGGAAAGAAAUGGGCUACACUCCCUGACUCAGGGUAUACAAACAAUAAUUUGAAAUAAUUAUCUAAAGGUGGAUUUAGCAGUAAGGGAGAAUACAGAGAGUUCCCCUGAAACCGGCCCUGAAGCGCGCACACACCGCCCGUCACUCUCCCCAAAUCUAUACUGUAACCCCAACAUAUAAAAAAUAUUCCACAAAGGGGAGACAAGUCGUAACAUGGUAAGUGCACCGGAAGGUGUACUUGGAAAAAC
rnacentral:rRNA from 1 species